CCACCCCAUCCUUCUAAGCCAGGUACCUCAGGUGUUGUGGAGAAGUGGCUUGAAUGUCAGACUUGUUUGCCGUGGAGCCUUCUUCGGGAAGCAGCCAAAUGUAAGGUGGAAACCCUGGUGGGAGGGGAGGAUUUUAGCCAGACUCCCGGGGAGGCCCACAGAAUAUUCCUAAAAUCCACCUGGAUUCCUAGUUCUGCCCACUGGGAGGAAACUUGCAUUCCCUCAAACUCUUAAGUAAAUUGUGACCUGGUGAAUAAUUAACUUCACCCUCCUGACUUUUUUUUGGGGGGGGGGGAGAAAAAAAUCCCAACCUGUGAAAAAUUAGAGAUCAGUUUUUGUCCAGCAGGAUUUGGAUGACAAAGGAGGUAUUGGGCCUCUCUCAUCUUCACUCCAGAUCGUAGCACCUUCCUUCCAGGGUUUCCUUGGCGUCUGCUCCUAUAGGGCCUCUGAGCUGCUUCCCCAAGUCGCCUUCGGUGCCCCUUUGCCCAAAGCCGCCCCUUUGCCCAAAGCCGAACUCUGCGAACCCUCUGUCACUGAGGAUUCUUUAUGAAGCUGCAGCAGCAGGCCCCCUACGUUGUCCCGGGACAGCUUGGCCCUUGCUACUGUGAGAGUUGAUUCUGCUGCCAGGCUGGUUUGCGGCUCUGUGUGAACUGGUAAAUAUUUGGCCAGUCUUAGCUCUUUUAUACAAAAGCACUGUGCUCCUUAUCUGUGAUAAGUCCCUGAAAGAGAGUUGUCUCCGAAGCGAGGGAUCAGUUUGGUUUCCAGGAGGGAUUUUUGUCUCGUAGCCCAGUGUGGGAACCGCGAAGGUGGACUUGGGGUCCUGCUGUGCUUCGGUUGAGCCCUAACUGCCACUUGCCAGCUGAGUGGCCUUUGACAAGUGAUUUCUCUGUGCCCCAGUGUUUUCCGUCGUGAAAUGAGGGUUAUGAUACUUACCAUGUAAGGUUGUGGUGAGGUUUAGAUGAAAAAGUACACAUACAGUGCCUGGCACAACUGGUAGUUGUCGUUCCUCGCAUCUCAUCUAAUUUUGGAGUCUGCGUGGGUAUAUUUCUUGGUAGAGAGGGGUGCAGAGUGGUUAAAAUCUCAGGUCUGGUAAGUCCGAAUGCCACCUCCAUUGCUUGCUAGCCACGUGGACUUGGGCAAGCUACUUAAGUCACUGGGGACAACAGCUUCCUCAUCGUUCAAAACCAAUUGCCUUUGAGUCAGCUCUGACUUAUGGCGACCCCAUGUAUGUCAGAAUAGAACUCUGCUUCAUAGGGUUUUUCGUGGCUAAUUUUUCAGACGUGAGAUUGCCAGGCCUUUCUUCUGGUGCACCUCUGGGUGGACUCGGACCUCCAACCUUUGAUUUGCGGCUGAGCCUGUUAACUGUUUGCACCACCCAGGGACUCUUCAUGAUCAUUAGGCAGAGAUAAUACUUGGGAGCCCCUUCCCCUGUCUAAAUCUGUUUUUGUUGUCUACCAACUAUGUGCCAGGGACUGGGCCAGGCUGGGCUGGGGUAAAACUAGCAUGGCUUGUUGCUGCCUACCCUGACUUUUACUCCAGCGCAGAAAGUCCUCACUUUAUAGUUGAGGCUGAGACACAUCCAGGAAAGGCUUCUCCCAGGAUCUCACAGCUGGCCUUUGGUGUACCAGGGACAAUACCCCAAGCCUUUUGGGUGCAGCUGGGCCUCCCAGGUUCAGAGCCAGCAAGCAUGAGCUGUAGAACAGGAGGUGGAUUGGUCUAGAUUAGCAGCACAGAGCCUUUAAAGAGGAGCCCUGGGCUUGCAGAUGUGGCUGCCUCACACAUCUGCUGUGCACUGCCUCCAGCCCAAAAGGCCCACAGACUCCACAUUUCAUGAAAGGCCCCCAGGAAAGGUGACUUUUCUACAGCCUUUCUAGGCUUGCCCGCUCCCUAACCAAGUUAAACAUACUCUAGUGGGACCAGCCAAGCAGGGGCAAAAUUGAAGGGGAUGAAGGGUAGGAUUUGAUAUUCAGAAAAAUGCUGCAAAGUAGUCAUCCUGGGUGGGGGGGGGGGAUCAGAAUUUUGCUGGACUCCCCUGUCCUUUUUUGUGGCUCAGUUUUUAUUUUUAGUUUCAAACUGGAGGUGUGGGUAGACCAUCAUGUUUUCAGAGCUUACCAGCCUUUAGUAGUCCUGACUGGCAGCGGGCAGGGCUUAGGAAGUUUCUGCGAUUCUGCGAGACUCCGAGCAGGUGACUUCUCACCCGCUUUGUGUGCUUCCUCCCUUUGGCACGGUCUGGGGAAUUUUGAAGUCACCCUGUAGCUAGACCCCUUGGCAUCUGCUGCCCAGGAGAACUGGGCAGAGAGGUGCUGGGUGGAAAGAACCAUCACCCGAUUUUCAUCACAGCCCUGCCACUCAGGGUCUCAGAGCCCCUUCUCUGUCAGGUGGGGGAUUGGACUGAGUAGAGACUGUGCACCCCCUUGUAGCCUGAAAAUUCUUCUAACAUUCUGAGCCAGGAGGCGUAGAGGAGGAAACAGGGUUGGAACCUGGGGCUGUGGUUUGUAGGGGUGGGAGGAGGUGGGGGAAGGACUCAGAGAUGUGCAGCUGGGAAAUUUGGAUCAGUCUAUGAGAGACUUUGUGGUUCAUUCUCAUGAAACUUGCUUCCUCUCACUGGAUUUCUGCCCUGGGGUAUGUGUGGUUCACGGGAACACGCUGGUUUCUCCUCCUUGGUGACUGAGGCUUAAAUUCUGGGCCCCUAAGCAAAUAUUUAAGAAAAAAUUCUCUAUCUUGUUUUCUCUAAGUCUGUUGUAAAGUAGACCUAUUCCCUGUCCUCUGGAAAGUGUUAAAUUGCAUCACUACUCAUUUGCUGAUAGCACGGGGCUUUCUGAGAGACUGGUCUAAGGCAGAAAACGUUUUUCUGCAUCAUGGAAUGGGUGUUGGCUUUGGAGCCAGGAACCUGACUCUCCCACGAACUCACUAGGUGACCUCGGGUGAGUGAAGCACCUUCCUGAGACUCAGUUUCCCCAUCCGUAAUAAUACAUGCCCACCUUGCAGGGCAUUCAGAGGAUUGAAUGGGAAUGUGAGUGUGAACUCCAGGCACGUGGUGGCCCUGUGGUAGUGGCACCAUGGUAGCUGUUCUCAGGUAACACCAUAGUUCAUCCCAGGGCCUGUGUGGCUGGUGAGCAAACCUCAGUGAAGUCAAGGAAGGAAGACCUGGCCUGGCCAGCCCAGGUGCUGGUUAAUGUCUGGAGAGAAAAAAACACUAGAAGAAAGGUGAGUCCUUGCUGGAGUUGCGGUGGAGGUUCCUGCUUCUCCAGGGGCACCUGUCUGAUACAACUUGAGAGAAGCAGUGGGUAGAGAUGGGGGGCCAGUCAGACACCCCUAACUUUUCCAGGAGUACGUUCAUAUGGUCACUGCAUUCAAACCCAUCUGAGGGGACAGGUUAGUGGGAGACAUUCUUCUGAAUUCCAUUUUAUUGGGCUUGCUGCAUGGGCUUAAGAACAUGAGGAAAAAAAAAACACACACACACACAUUAAGAAAAUGUGUUUUUGUUCUUGGAACUUUGAGUUAGAGUAAGCAGAUACUUGGAACCAGGGCUUAUGUAUAAGCAAAAUGUUGAUCUCCAAAUAGCUGGGCCAGACCACUGUAUAGCUGGGAAAAGUCAGCACAAUGACUUGGUCCCAGCUAGUUGGUGUGGGGGGCUCACUUCUCCCCUGGCCUGAGACACACACUCCUCCUGUAUCUAGUGAUAGUGAGCGUUCCAUGUCGCUCAGGUCUGGGCUCAUGUUAACCCUGGCCAAAUUGUUCAAUAUUAAAACAUCUGGCAAAAUACCAUGUUGCGACAAUGAACCUUUUCUGUAUAGGAGGGGCAAGAGGAGGGCAGCCCUGGGGUGCUGAAAAACCACUUAGGCACUGACAGUUGGAAAGGGGCAGGGUCUGCAAUCCUGACUGUGAAUGUAAGGGGUGGUGAUGGUUCAGGGGGGCAGCUUCUUAAAAUAGAAGGAGGCCUGGGAACCAGCUCCCAGUUUCUAGAGCCCACUUGGGGCAGAGGGGAGGGGGCUGCUGCCAACCUAUCUUGGCAUUCUCCCUUUCGUCCAUUUGGUAGAUUUUGUUUUAAUUAGACAAGUCGUGACAAAUAUCCCAUUAGUCUUUGGGCCAGAGAGUUGUGAGGAGCCCUGCCUGGAAACCCAGCCUCACUCACUUGGGAGCCAUAAUUAGGCAAGAGAACAGUUCACGGGCCCUUGAUUCAAUAAAGACCCUUUCAUGAUGUUGGUUUUUCCCAGAAAAAUAAUACCACUUUGCUCCGUUUAUUGCGUUUCGAUGUGUAAUCACAUUAGAACUAAGUAGCCCAGGGGAUUGCAGUUACGUAGUUGGGGUUUUCACCAAAGCCUGUUACCCGGUCUUCAGAGAAAAAAGUAUCCUCAGAAAAAAAGAAAAUGACAAGGAAUGUUUCUGAGGAUUUUUCUCUCUUGGCAUAUGUGAUGGUUAAUGAUAUGUGUCAACUUGACUGGGCCACGAAUAUCAGUAUUUUAUAAUUAUCCUCCAUUUUGUGAUUUGAUGUAAGGGGAGUUUUCUUGGGGGUGUGGCCUGCAUCCAAUAUAUGUGGACAUUCUGGCAAAGCUCACUUGCUCUUGAUCCUGCAUCUGACGGGUCAUCCUCUGACCUCUGGUUCUCGGAAUCUGAGCCAGCAGCCUGCCGCCUGACCUAUGGAUUUUGGGAUUCUCCAGCUCUCGUAACCCUUUGAGCCAGCAGCCUUCCACCUGACCUGCCCCUAUGACCACAUGAGUCAGGAGAAUCCUCCAGCCUGAUGCCUUACCCGUGGAUUUGGGACUUGCCGGCCUCCGCAAUGGCGUGAGCCAUUUCCUUGAAAUAAACCUCUAUAUCUCUAUAUUUAUAAGGAGCCCUGGUGGCACAGUCGUGAAGCACUUGGCUACUAACCAAAACAUCGGUGGUUUGAACCUACUACCCACUCCGCGGAAGGAAGAUGUGGCCAUCUGCUUCUGUAAAGAUUUACAGCCUUGGAAACCCUAUGUGUGGGGCAGUUCUACUCUAUCCUGUAGGGUCGCUAUGAGUCAAAAUCAACUUGGUGGCAGUAGGUUUGGUUUAUAUAUAUAUAUGUGUGUGUGUAUGUGUGUGUGUGUGUGUGUGUAUAUAUAUAUAUAUAUAUAUAUAAAUACGCUUCACUGGUUUUGAUACUCUAGAGAACCCAGCCUAAGACAGCAUGUAAAAGACAUUUUCUCCCUUCAGGGUGAGAAGUGACCCAGGAAAAAACCAGAAAGUGAAACUAACUUGACUCCUCAGUGUUGAUCCCGGCCUUGGAGCUCUCUUUGCCGUCCUGCGUUGGCCCAGGCCCUGUGUGCCCAGUGCAACCCCUCCCGGAUAUGAUAUUUGCCAGAUGGGUAGCACAUGUCCUGUGGAGGUCUGGAGAGAAUACCAGAGAGAUGCCUGUGUCCUCUCCACCAGGAGUUGUGGCUUACCAACACGUCUACCAGGUGGCAGGCUACGUGCCUGCAGGGUGCUGAGGUUCCCAGGUGGCAGUUCCCUGAUUCCUCCAUGUCCCCUCCGUGCUGGGGCGGUCAGAACCCUGACUAAAUAUAGCCCUGGAGCUCACGGCAGCUUUCAGUUAAUUGGGAUGGUUUGCUUGGCCCCCACGGGCCUGACUGGACCCUUCUUCCAGCCAUUCUCAGCUGGGAGGGAGGCCUGCUGCCGUGCAAGCCCCCGCACAGCCACCCCCUCUUGCUUUCUUACCCCACGACCGUUCCGUGUGGUCCCUUCAGAGCAGUUUUCCACAACUCUUGUCAGGCAGGCUGAAAGCAUUUCCCAAUCGCACAGUUAAAAUCGCUCCCAGAAAUCUGCCCAGUGCUGGGGUUAGGUAGAGAUCACCAGGGAGCCGCUUUCCCAAUUUGGGGUUUAGAAAUCUCAGGCAAUGAGGAAAUUUGGGGUAGUCAUUCACAGGAGUACUCUGUUAAGAAAGAGGGUAUGACAUUUCAGAAUGCCGAAACCGUGUUGCAUUAAAAAAGGGGAAAAUCCAUUUUAAUUCCAGGACAUCUGGUGGGAGUUAUCUCUGAAAUAUCUUUUCUGUUCUUGUAGAACUGUGCAUUUCAUAGGGAAUGGUUUAUCUGUUCGUAAAUAAUGUGUAUUACAAUGUUCCUUCAUUAUCACUACUGUUUUAAGAUUCGAGGUGGGUUUUUUUUUUUUGAACAUUAUACUUUAGGCUUUCUGGGUAUAUUUUAUACUUUGGGGAAGAAGUGCUUUUAAAUUAUAUAUAUAUAUGUAUAUGUAUUUUGCUUCUCCCCAAAGGAAUAUAAUUAGAACAUCUGAAGCAGAUUAUCCAAUUAGUAAUUUUAAAAAAUUAAUUGUUAGGAAUUUGUGAGGAGAUAAAAAUUAUUUUAAAUUUCCAAAUGUAACUGGCCACAAGGAGGCUCCGAGGAAGUAGACAAGGGAAAAAUAACAGGUUUCUAAGUUUCCCUUCUUUUCAUUCAACGGCUCCCCUCAAAAACUCAGCGCAUCUGACUCCCAGCCAGCAACAGUGACCAGAAAGCUGUUUGUCUUGCCCUGCGUAAAUAGUAUUAGAAAAAUUAUUCUUUUUUUUCAUAAAUGAGUUUAUUCAUUUAUAUCUGUUUUUCUUUUCCCCUGACAGUGAAGUGGAAACCCUGGUGGCGUAGUGGUUAAGAGCAACGGCUGCUAACCAAAAGUUUGGCAGUUCGAAUCCACCAAGCGCUCCUUGGAAACCCUGUGGGGCAGUUCUGUCCUGUCCUUUAGGGUUGCUAUGAGUCGGAAUGGGCUUGAUGGCAAUGGGUUUGGUUUUUCUUUUUUUUUGACAGUGACGUAGCCAUGAAGAUGUGUCUGUUUUCAGCAAUAAUGUUAGUAGGUAUUCUUUGGGGGGGAAUUGUGGUGAUGUGAAUUGACUGAGUACAUAUUCACUGCGUGCCUUGUGUGUGCUUUCAUUGUGCCAGUUGGCAACAAGGGCAGUCUAGCAGGGGUGGGGUGACGUCCAGGACCCAGAGAAUGAAGUUGAGACCCGGCUCUUGCCAUUUGUGGCUUUUGGUAGUAUAGGCCUGUAAUCUUUUAUCCGAAAUUCUGAACUCCCAAAACUGUGAAAAUUAGAAGUCGUUUUAGUAACUAAUUUAGUGAGAAAAUCUGACCCAACCUGACUUGAGACUAUUAAUAGUCUAUAUUUAUCCUGGAGGGUGUGAAUAUUCAUGGAUUCCACUGUGGAGAUAUUAUAGUAGAUAUUAAUGUGUUUGAUUACGGGUGCUGCCCUGCUGGGGUGUUGUUGCAUAAUACGUGGUGUACCUCCUAGAAUGUGAAAAAUUCUGACUUCUGGAAACACAUAAGGCCUGGAGGUUUGGGGAAGCGAUUGCAGACCUGUAGUAUCAUCAGCUUAAUAAAUGGCAACAGCAGCUACAUGCCCAGAGACAGGGGCAGAGACCUGUUGCUUCUUCAGUUAGAGGAGGACCCUGUGGGUUGAAUGAGGGUUCAGCUGAUAGAUGGACAGGAUAUCCAAACAGCUGUAUGCCCACUGGGGCAGGGGAUUUGACUGCCUCUGGCCCUCAGAGCCCUCCCCUCUGCAGGCCUUUAACUCCAUGAAGGUUCAACAGGUUUUCCUCACUAUUGUAUCUUCAGUGUCCAGCUCUGCACUUGGCAUGUAUGAAAUGCUGAGUAAAUAUUGGUCAAUAGCAGAGGUCGGCAAGCUUUUUCCGUAAAGGGGCAAACAGUAAAUAUUUUAGGUUUUAUAGACCAUAGGAUAUCUAUUGUAACUCUUCUGCUUUGCCAAAGCAGCCAUAGAUAAUAUGUAAAUAAAUGAGCAUACCUGUGUUCUAAUAAAACUUUAUUUACAAAAAUGAGCUGUGGGCUAGAGAUUGCUGACCCCUUGCCAAAAUAAUCAAUGCAUCUUGAACGUAGACUCUUCCUCCUCUGUACUUUUAGCCCUGCUGCUGCUCUGCCUGUCUUGUUUCCCGUCUCCUUUAAAGAGAUAAAAGUUGUAGCUCUGACGCCAGCACCCACCCCUUGCUUUGACUCCUCCGGAUGGCCUGGAAGCAUGGAUGAAAGGAAGGUGCUGCCCUUCCCUGGACUGGCUUCUUUAGUGGAAACGUGUAUAUUUUGUGUGGACAAAUGCAUUUGGGCACAGGUCCAACCUUGCCGAGGGGCAUUCAGCCCUCUACCCACUGAUGAGUUUUGGGGGCUGAGCCAAGCCCCAAGGCCCUGCUGGCCAUCAGAGUCGGGCCAGGCUAUGCUGCCAGGCGACUAUGUCUCGGGAGAGUUUGCCAGUACAUGGGGGGAGCUGAGGGGCUGAACGUGAGUAUUUAGAGCCAAUGUGUUCUUAGCUAAAGAAUUUCUGGCAGGGAAAGUUUGGUUAUCAUAAACCCAGGGGCUCUGAUGGAUGAGUUUCAGGUCUUCUGGCUUCGUUCAUCCCAGCCCAGAACAUCCAGCAAGGGUUGGUCUGCCCAGUGAGUCCAAGAAGACUUACUGCAGCAGAGGCUCAAUCCCACCGAGCUUUCUGGCUCUACCUCCACAGUGGGCCGGCCUGGGCAGACAGGGUGGAGUGGCUGGAAGGAGGGCAGGACCCUGCAGAGACCACUCCCCUAAGCUGUGUGCAGAGAGUGCCACCAUGCCUGCGCCUGGCCCCAACCCAGCUCUCUGCCAGGACCCCUGACUCAAAGCCUGGCUUUUCCAGACCCUUCAGGCCAGGCCCCAGCAUCCCAGGAAGGCAGUGGGUUCCUGUCUGGGCUUAGGGGGCUCUCUCUGCAGAAGAGCCCCUCCACCAAGACCUUUUGGGAUCGUUGCUCUCUGCCUGGAUCCCCCUCCCCCCUGGCCAGGGUGGGGCUGGUGCAUAGCUUUCUUUCUAAAGCAAAAUGCAAACGAGCUAAUAUCUGGUUGGCUUUUCUUUUCCAUCUGUCGUGGCUUGUGGGUAGCUGGCUAUUUUGGGGACUUGGGUUGUUCAUGGUAUAACCUCACUUUACAGCUCCCUUAUAAGUCUCAGUGGCUUAUCAGGUCCCGGUGGAAGGGGCACCCCUUUGGUCACUGAUAUGUACCCAACCCAGGCUGAGGGCCUGGUGUGUUUGGUGAUGAGUUAGCUCUGCUGACAAAGCCAAGCCCAGAUGGGUCACCUUCACUUACCUAGGACAGCAUGGGGAUCCUCCGGCCACUGCCAGGGGUAGCCCUCUGUCCCCACCUCCCUGUCAUUGAGCACCUGUGCCUGGGUCAGACAUUAUAGGUAUCAUGGUGAAUAAGACAGCCUGGCCCAGAGCAGUCGUUCUCAAACUUGACCGUUCCUGAGAAUCGCGUGGGAAGCCUGUUAGCAAUGCAGAUCCCCAGGCCCCUUGGUAGUUCUGGAGAGGGGGAGGCAAACCUGCGUUGGUAAUAAGUGUCCCCUGUGGUUCUGAUGUGGGUGGUUCCAGGAGCAGCCUCUGGCAGGGUGGGCCAGCACAGAGUGAUGAGUGUCGGGACAGGAAGGAACAGGGAGAAGGGGCUCUAACCCAGGGAGGAGUUGUCCAGAGGAGGUGAGCUGAGUCUUGAAGAACCAAGGAGGCAAUAAUAAUAGUAGCUAAACUUGAUUGAACACUUUGUGCCAGGCACGGUUCUAAGCCCUUUACAUGAAUGAACCCAUUCAAUCCUCACAACCACCCCAUAGAGUGGAUACUGUUAUCCCAACCUCACAGAGGAGCAAACUGAAGCACAGAGGGGUUCAGUAGCUUGCCCAAGAUGAUGUGGUUAGGAAGCAACGGUCUGGGUUCAAACCCAGGCAGUUUUGCCCCACAGCCUGCCUCUUCCUUACAAAGUUCCGUGGCAUUAGGGGUAAGGGCAUGCCAGGCAGGGGGUCAGCACACGGAAAGUCUAGGCAGACUGGGAGGGCUGGGGCUUAGCAUGCAAGCAUAAUGCUGUCACUUUGUCUUCAUGGUCCAGGUGAUUCUGCUCCUAGUAUAUAGGACAGCCUGCGGCUGGUGGAGUAGGUGGCUGUGAUCUUGGUUGGGGCAGAAAGCUCCCAGAGAGAGGACAUGUACUGUAAUGACAGUCCGAGAGGGCUGGGGAGCCGUAACGACAGUCCGAGAGGGCUGGGGAGCUGCAGAGGUGGGCUUCCAGGCCCUCUUCCUUUCAGUCUUGAACAAAGAUGGGCCGUGGGGCGUGGGUGAGGAGGUGGAAUGUUUGUGUUGUGAGGCACAGGGAGCAGGGAGGCCUAUGUCCUGACACUCUGUUCCAGGCCCUUGUCUAAGAAGGGAAGAAUUCUCCAUGGCCUGAGUCCCUGGAGACUCCCAGGGAGCCAGACAGAGCCUCUGCCCUUGGGGUCUGAGAGAAGGCUACUUGGAGAGGGGAAUAUGCUUUGGUUAGGAGCCUACUCACAGGCCCUUAGCGCGUGGUAUGCUAAAUACUUUGUAUGCUUUUACUUUAACCCUCAUAUCACCCUGCAAAGUAAGGUCUUAUUAUUCGUAUUUACAGAUGUGAAACCUGAGGCCCAGAGAGGCAGAGUAGUUUGUACAUGGUCACACAGUGAGUAAGAAAUAGUGGAGCCAGGUUAGUCCUCUGGGGGGUUGUGCAUUCACCACAGUGGGGGCCACCCGUGCUGUGAGAGGCUGUGUUUUCUGCACCAGCCCACCGAAGAGUGGGUUCUCUGCCAGGCUGGGUAGGGCAUGUUCCCAGCAGCCAGCUGGGCAGAUUCCAGCCAUGCUGGGCCCUGGGUGGAGUGGCCUGACUUCUGGGGAGGAGUUUCCCGCCAAUGGAUGGCAUUCCACAGAUGGGUGGCAUUUCGUGCCGUGGGUCUCGGAGGAGGACCACAUUCCCUGGAGUCAGAAAGGCUUGGGGUCUGUGGGGAGUGGCCUGCUGGGGGCGUCUGUGGUCUAGUAAGCGUCUGCCCCCGCUGGAGGCUCGGCCAGGCCAGGCUGUACUGCCUACCCGGAGACAGAAGGGGUCAUCCCAUUGGGAAAGGAAGACCCUAGACAAGACUUUGAUUCUGGAAACCCUUUUCAUCUUCCCAUAAUUGUCUCUGGGCAGAUUGAGUGCUGGCAAGUUCUAGGAAGGGAGUGAGCUGAGGAAAAAAAGUCAGUUGCCAGCUGUCUUCGUUAUCUAGUGUUGCUAUAACAGAAAUACUACAAGCGGAUGGCUUUAACAAACAAAUUUAUUUUCUCACAGUUUAGGAGGCUAGAAGUCUGAAUUCAGGGUUCAGGCUCUAGGAGAAGGCUUUCUUUCCCGGCUCUGGAGGAAGGUCCUUGUCUUUUUGAGCAUCUGCUCCUGGGCAGUCUUUAUGUGGCUUGACAUCUCUUCCCCCCUUCCCUUUACUCUUUUGCUUAUUUAAUCUCUUAUAUCUCAAAUGUGAUUGUCUCAAGACACACCCAACACUAAUCCUGUCUCAUUAACAUAACAAAGACAACCCAUUCCCAAACAGGGUUAUAACCACAGGCAUAAAAUAGAGGUUAGUAAAUUAGUAAACACGGAUUUUUGGGGGACACAAUUCAAUCCAGAACACUGGCCCUUCUUCCUUCUUGUUGGUCACUUUCUGACCAUGCCCCCACCCACCUUCAGUUUCUCCCAGCCUGUGCUUUCCAGCAGAGCCUGUCAGCUCCUUGAUUGGAAUGCAGAAACAUCCCAGGGCAUUCCAAAAGCCUUUGCUCAUGUCUUUGUUGCACACAAUAGGUUAUUUUUGUAGAUGGGGUGUGAGGUGGACUUGCCUUCCUACUUGGCCCAAAGGAACCUGUUGCCUUUUGUCCAGCUCACCUGGGCUAAGGUGAGAAAGGGGGAACUGGGCAGGACUGAGAUUUGAGAUCCAGUUCCCCUAGGUGGGCUCUUCCUGAUGGGUUUGCAGCCUCUUGCCUCUCUCUAGGGACAGUGGGUGUGUGGCCUUCAGCUUUUCAGGAAGAGCCCUUUAGAUGUGUAUGGCAUGGCUGAAAUUCUCUCAUUUCCUCCUUUGCUCUUCUUUUGAAAUGGGAGAGAUGGUGGUGGCAGCAUAGCUCCUUCUAGGCUCAUUUGAUAGAGUAACCGCUGGAGAGAAGUAGAACCAGAACAGGGCUUUGAACUGGUUCUGAAUGGUUCAGUCAUGGCUGGAGGAAACAAGGGCAGCAUAGGUGUUGCAUAGCAACCAGAUCUCUUGCACAUGGGCUUUUGACCUGUGUAGGAAACAGAGAGCAGUGCCCUGCUCAAAGAUAGCAGUCUGCCACGCCACUUUGAAUGUGUGUCCUGUCAGUAAUCCACUCUACUGCAUCAGGAAACUUUCAGGAGCCUGAUACGGGAGGCUGGAUUAUUGGCGGGACUGUGGAGAGUGACACACAUUUAAAGCAGAGCAGUCAGCCACCAUCUUUGAGCAGGAUGCAGCUGUCUGUUUCAUACUCUCUUCAGAAGCCAACUUGCAAGAGAUUUGGUUUCUAUGCAGUGUGUAUGCUGCCCUUGUUUCCAUCGGCCAUGACUGAACCACUUCCAACUGGUUUGAACCCCUGCCUUGUUUCCGUCAGUGCUGACUGAACUGCUUAGAACCGGUUCAAAGCCCUGAACUAGAGCUCAGGUUCCUUCUUGAGAGUUCAGGCAUCCGAAUUUGUUCUUUAUGAGGCUAGGGAAGGUAAGGCAACCCUUUCCCUAGGUCUUGCGGUACCUCCUGGUGUUUUCUUCUCUGCUUGAAGCGAGGCCGGUGGUGAGGGGGCUUAGUCUCUCCACAGUGGGUCCACGUACCACAUGUGAAGACGAGGGCCAGUUGACCCUUCUCCCAGUUCUUGCCACAUCCCAGAGCACUCACCCACUUGGAAUUCCACCAGGAUUCUAGUCCACGGCUCCCUGUGGGUGGAAGACACUGGGUUCUGAGUUGGCUGUGGGUGGAACAGAGGCUGGUUGUUCCUGGGCGUGCCAUGGGGGCAGUGAGGAUGGCUACUGCUGCACUCUGGGGGGAAUUGUGCCAGUGUGGAGACCCUGCAGCCAACCCCACCCACCACAGAGCUUCCUGUGGGCUGUGGGGAGGUGGGGUAGGGUGAGGUGAGGGGGCAGCAUCUCCACCUCAGCUCACCUGGGACAACUGGUCGACCACUUAACCACCUGGAGAGUUCAAAGACAGCAAGAAAAAUGAGGGACUUUCAGGGGCAGCUGUGUUUUCUGACUCAGUCAUAAUGCCCCUAAAAAUCCUUAUUGUUCUUGCAGUGUGCAUCGGACAUGGCCACCAACCUGCCCUCUCCCACCGCUGGGAGGGGAAGGGCCCUCUGGGGUCAGAUUGGAAUGUACCCCACCAAAUGAGAGUGAAUGGGGACUUGCUGAUUAUUAAAGCAAUUUUAUGAUCAACACAUUGACUUGCAAACAUUUGUGCAGUCUGUGUUUCGGUGGAGGAUUGGGGUGGAGGAGGGUGGGCACUGAGGUGCAGGCAGGGGCCCAGGAGAGUACGGGGUCUCCCUGGUUGGUGUGUGGUUGAAGUUUAAAAACCCCAGCUGCAUGCAUGUGCAGUGCCCAAGGAAGGUCGUCCUGGGGUCUGUCAGGCUAAGGCAACAGUGUUGGGCUGAACGGCAUGCCCAGCCUUUACUGAGAACUUGGACCCUUCUAGGGGCCAGAGGGGAGAAGGCACCUGGGCAGCAACUUGCCUUGUGUUUUAAAACAGGAAGCCCCAGAGUCCACUCAGAAAUCACCCAGUGCUCUGGGCAUUUUCAAAAUCCUUUUGCAGUGGUUUGAAGGCCUUUUCCCUCUGCUGUGACCCUGGAGUUUGCUUUUGUCUCAGCUGGAUGGUCUUCAUCCCUAUUUCACUUCGUGGGCCUUCUCCAUUCUCAGCAGGUGAUCCCACCCCAACCAUCUCCAGCUCCACCCCACAGAUACUUUGAGCCAAGGCUUUAUCUUGGGGGUAGAUUUGGGAUUCCUCGAGGAUUGUCAAAAAGCAGAAAUACCUUUUAAAACAGCAACCCAUCUGUGACAUGCUCCGCUUACCCAAAAACACCGAGCCACAAGAAUGCCACCAAAUCCCAAAGCAACAGAAUUUUCCUCUCUAAUCAAGGCUGGGCAGGCGGCUGGCCCAUGGAUGGACAGACAGGUGGACAAACUCUACUUGCUCCGCCUGGUCUAUUGUGUCUUGCCAACCUCACAAGUCAGUAGGGGAAAUUUAUCCCCAGGGUAUUUCUAAGGUUUCCAGGUGCUGAUUCACAGGCUCUCAUUGCGCAAGAAGGUGGCCGCCGGGUGCUUGACGUCUGUGAGACCCUGACUUCCUCGGUCAUUCUUCCUAGCUGGCCUAGCCCCUGGCGCCCCUGAGCUCUGGCCCAUCCUGUUGGUCCAGUCGUGCCUCAACACCAGCUCUCCCAGAGAUGGUUUUUAAGGAGCCUUAGCGAGAAGGGACGCUUCUCCAAGGUAAAGUUUAAACAGGGAUGGUAUUUUCCCUUCUUGGUAAGAGGUGGGUGAGGCUCUAGUUAAAUGGAGAUUCUCAAAAUCUACAGUGGACAAAUGGUAAUGAACGUACAAUGGCCAAAGGGUGACGGAAGAGGGUUCUUCCCUCAUUGACUGCAUUUGCUGAUUUCAGGUCAACUGUCCCUUCCCCUGAGCACCUUUUGCCUUGCCCUUGUGUCCCCCCAAACCUUCCUCCUUGUCCCUGAGUAUGUUCCUCAUUCUUCCCCACAGAACCUUUGUAAGACAAUAAACUGAUUGUAAGACAAAAAACUGAUGACUGUUUUUCCCCCAUUAUGGAAGAAUUGCCUUCCACUCUAGAAAAUUGGGAAAAUACAAAAGGAUGACAUGAAAGAAAAAAAAAAAAAGUCUGCUAAUGAAGUGCAUCCUCCCAGCUCUUUCUUCCCUGUACAUGGACUCCCCCACCCGGUUAGCAGGAUUGGGGCUUUUAACAGGAGCCGGGCUCAUAACCCAUUUGAGCAGGUGUCCAGGUACCCUUGGGAACCAGAAAGCCUUUUUAUUUUUUUUCUUUUUGCCAAGUGGGGUGUGCUGUGCACCACUGCUCACCUCCAGCCAGGAAGCUCAGAGGUCUUGUUGGAUUGAUUUUGGGGUGGCCUAUCGCAUUGCUUUUCAACCCUGGUCGCGUAUAAGAGUCAUCUUGGAAGUGGUUAAAAGAAAACAAAACAAAAUUCCUGGGCCCCACCCAAAAUCAAGUAGAAUUGAAUUGCAGGGGGCGGGGAGAGCACCCAAGGAUUGGUGUCUUUACUUCUGGGUUGUUUUUUUUUUUUUUUUGGUUUGUUUCUCAGGUGAUUCUCAUGAGCAGCCAGAGGUGAAUACUGGGUGCCUGUCCGGGACGGUGCUCUGAGUAGAAUCGACUUUUAUGGCAAUGAGUUUGGCUUUGGUCUUGGUUUUGUUAGGGAUGGAAGAGAUUCCCUUCCGCUCUGCCUUUUCAGCCUGACCAGGGAGAUGUGACCAUUUACCGUUGGCAGAUUUCUUUCCCUCCAUUAUUUUUCUGCUGCUCAGAGCCAUCUUUUGAGAUUCUUACGACCUUUGUUUUACAGACAGGGAAACAGGCUAAGGAGGUCAGGGGACUUCAUCUGAAAACACAAAGCUGAGAUAUGGCAGAGCUGGGGUUUACGUGCACACCUUCUGCCUCCCAAGGAUAGAACUCUGUGUGGUGACUAGUGUGGAGAAGACACUCAGUGGUGGUGACACUGCUCAAGAAAUUCAGUUUGAGUCUCAACAUGGCAGAUGGUGCCUUCUCUCCUUGGUCCUAUCAGGAUGACCUCCCCUGUCAGCCUUCACUCUGAACCUCAUGGUUUUUCCUGCCCUGGCUGGAUCCUGUUGGGAUGGUGCUUCUGGACUGUAGUCCUGAGGUCCUGGACAUGCCCCAUUGGUCGUCCCUUUGCCCUAGAUUUCCUCUCUCAUCAUCACUGUCCAGGGCUAGGGCCCACGGAGGCAUCCUUUCCCUCUGCUGUGUUCAUCCAACAAGUUCAGACGCCGUCAGCUUCAAGGUGUUGCCACUGGGCCUGGGCCAGAGGAGCUGCUGCAGAGCCCCUCCCUCCCCGCCAGCCUCCUGAGGAGCGGAUGGCUCAGCACAGGCAGGAAGGGCUUUCCGUUUGGCUUGGCUGGUGGGGAGGUGAUUAGUGCUCACUUUCUAUUUUGACACUUGUAUCUAACUGACAGGCAGAACCUGAGACUGCGCAGCAAGCAGCUGUAGGCCUUGAAUGAGUAGGCCUGUCCCUGAUGGCCUGGGUACUGCAGGGUUGUCUGGAGGUAGGAAAUGGGUGGUAACACCACUCCCUGAGCAUGUGUGGAGAUGCAGCCAUCUCUCGGCUUUCCCUCCCCAGCACCAUGGCCCUUUCUUCUAAUGCCUCUAUUUUCUUCAGGGGACCACCCCUCCUCACCCUGUAUCCCUGGAAUUCAGGUGGGGCUAAGCCCAGCCCCUGGCUCUAGAGGCAGGCAUGUGACCCAGUCCUGGACACUGAGACUCCCCCUGGCACUGUUGCAGGAACUAUGGAGAAAAGGGCAUUUUCUUUGACGUAAGCUUGGGACUACAGGUGGCCAUCCUAGUCUCCACCUGGGCAGAGCCUACCUGAGGACAAAGCCAGCAAACAGGGAAGAAAGCCAAGAGAUGGAGAGAGUGUGCUGUCCAGGUAUCAAUAAGCCCUGCCUCCAGCCAUGCCUGAUACCACUGCACCCCUGACUAUAUGAGCCAAGGCAUUUUUUUUUUUGUCUAAAACCAGCCCGAGUUGGGUUGCAGUCAAAAAAGGGAUUCAAAUAGACAAUAUUUUUCUUUGGUCUCAUCUUUAAUCAACUUUAGUGAUGCACAAUAAAAUCUACCUUUUUUUAA